rnacentral:rRNA from 1 species
GGCCGCGGGAAUUCGAUUAGAGUUCGAUCCUGGCUCAGAACGAACGCUGGCGGCAGGCUUAACACAUGCAAGUCGAGCGAGGACUUCGGUUCUAGCGGCGGACGGGUGAGUAACGCGUGGGAACGUGCCCUUUUCUACGGAAUAGCCUCGGGAAACUGAGAGUAAUACCGUAUACGCCCUUUUGGGGAAAGAUUUAUCGGAGAAGGAUCGGCCCGCGUUGGAUUAGGUAGUUGGUGGGGUAACGGCCUACCAAGCCGACGAUCCAUAGCUGGUCUGAGAGGAUGAUCAGCCACAUUGGGACUGAGACACGGCCCAAACUCCUACGGGAGGCAGCAGUGGGGAAUAUUGGACAAUGGGCGCAAGCCUGAUCCAGCCAUGCCGCGUGAGUGAUGAAGGUCUUAGGAUUGUAAAGCUCUUUCAACGGUGAAGAUAAUGACGGUAACCGUAGAAGAAGCCCCGGCUAACUUCGUGCCAGCAGCCGCGGUAAUACGAAGGGGGCUAGCGUUGUUCGGAAUUACUGGGCGUAAAGCGCGCGUAGGCGGGUAUUUAAGUCAGGGGUGAAAUCCCAGAGCUCAACUCUGGAACUGCCUUUGAUACUGGGUACCUAGAGUCCGGAAGAGGUGAGUGGAAUUGCGAGUGUAGAGGUGAAAUUCGUAGAUAUUCGCAGGAACACCAGUGGCGAAGGCGGCUCACUGGUCCGGUACUGACGCUGAGGUGCGAAAGCGUGGGGAGCAAACAGGAUUAGAUACCCCUGUAGUCCA